UUAUUAGGUCUGCACACAUUCUCAAAAUAUUAUCUACCUGCUUUUAUACACUUCAAACAGUGAAAAAUCAGUAUUUCUCAUAUGGGAAACAAUCUAAAGACAGAGCAACAGGUUACACAUUCCUUCAGCUCCAUUUUACAAUGCAUGGUCUGUGGAGAAGGGGCUUAUCUGAGUAAGGGGUGAUUGUAGCAGGGUGAAGUAAGCACAUUUAUUUCACUGUGUCAAAGACUAAAGAUCAGCACAAAGUUCACGUAGAAUUCUUUGGCUUUGGCAGCAGCUCAUUAUGGUAUUAUCUUCUUGCUAGGUUAAAUUUAUAGUGUCAUCUUGCUUUUGCUCCUUGGGUCUUGGCUCCUGGUUUUUACUAGGUAUCCAGAGCUGAAUGUCAGCAGGUGUCAAGUGGGUGACCACCUGUGGUGGGUCUAGUGCUGGCCAAAUUCCAGUGCACUCACUAGAAUUAUUUACUCAUUUUUUGCUGCGAGAUAAGGACUAGGAGGAGAGCAAAGCAGGCUCAACAUUUUAAAGGGUAUAAAGAAAACUUUAUUAACAGAACUAAAAGAAAAAUAAUAAGAAGUCAGAAUAAACCUUCAGAACAUUUCUCCUCCCCCCAACUCUUCUUUCUUUUCCCACGGACAAUGUAAAGAGGCAAAAUUUGGUAUUUUCAAUUAGUUUACCAUUUCUAAAAUAAUCUUUAUUAAGUUCACUUAGGGAGAGGAGUCUCUCCUGACAUGCCAUGGAGACUUUCUCACAAGAAACAGUUCUGUCAUUGUUUUAAUUUUCAUGAAUAGCAGCAAUGGAAAUCUGCAACUGUCCCUGCAAAAGUCCUUCCCACAGUUUGGUAGUCUUCCCACAACUACCACCAUGUGUCAUCUUAGCUUAUUGGGGUACAAUUUUAAGGAUGAGCUGUUCUGUAUAGAAACAAAAGUUAUUUUAUUUCUGGGAACAGAGGUUUUCUUCUUCCAUCCGUGGGGCAACGUUUCUUAUCUCUCUCUUCUCUCUCUGUUCAAGCUUCUCAGUGGAUCACAGCUACUUCAACAUUUGCUUGCUUCAACACAGGUACCUCUGCUCAUGGCUGUAGUUAGAACACUAGAGUCCCCCGAUGCACUCCAUGAGUUUCAGGGGAAAAAAGAGUUUGAUGUAUCAAUUACAUCUUCACCAUAGCCUUACAAAAGAAUUUCAGCCCAAGACUAAGGCAUCUCCUCACUCUCCUUCCAUCUAGGAUUUGAGUCCUUCACUAACCUCGGUGUCUUUGUCUUGUUUUCUCUAUGUGUCUUUAUGCUUUCCUUUUCUUUCACUCACGUUUCAUUUGUGCACCAGAGUUGGUAUCUCGGCCGGGCCUGCGGAUGGCCGUGCGAUCUGUGCCGAGUGGUGGCCGCUCUGGCUGCACGGCUGUUUUCCAGCCCCUGCCAUGGUCAGUUCCAGCUGCGGGGCUGCUUUCUGCAUGGGCUGCAGGCCUGCCUCUGUUCUUAGCUGCAUGGUUUUCUGCGGUGCCAGCAGGAAGGCCCAGCAGCUCGUGGCCCGAGCAGGGGCCAGCCUGGCUCCACCCAGAGCCAAGCAGAGCCAGCCUGGCCCACCAGCCCCGGGUGGAACUCGGAGGCAGCAGAAUGCCAGGGGGCGAGCCCGAGCGGGCCGCACUGCAGCACGGCAGGGUCCGGCCCGGCCCCGCCAGGCCCUGCAGGCCCUGCGGCACAGCGGGGCCUGGCCCGGCUACAGCAUGCAGGUACUGCUCAAAGUGUUAGUUGUGUCCUGAGUGUCACCUGCUUCCCUUCAGCAUCAAUGAAGAAAUUUUCCUUUGUUUGCUAUGGAGAUCCCAUUGUGGCCCAGAAGGGAAUGAUAAAGUUACAUAGAGGUGGAGAGGAUAAUGUCUAGUGAGGAGAAACCAGGAGCAGCCACAGGCAGACUUGGAAACACUGAAUAAGGAUCAGCAGUGACAGAAAAGAGCUGUGGUGCAAGACAGAAGCAGAGUCUACCCAAGGAUUCACAGCAAGUAGGAAAAAAUUGAAUUUCCUGUUUCCAGUAUGAGGACAGAACACAGCUAUCAUGGAGAACAAAAAGGUAAAUGGAAAGGGCAGGAGAAGCAACAAAGAGCUUUGUCCCAUUUCAGAGGAGAUCCUUUAAAGUACACCAGACAUAACAGUAAUGGCUGGGACUGUACAAUAAUGUGCUCAGCCAUGCAGAGAGGCUGCCUUUCCUCAAACACACCACAGCUGCGACACCAUGUGCUUGCUCCAGCUCAGACACAAGAAGUAUUGAACAUCAGCAGAAAAUAGGUCUCUACAAACAGUUUAUUGCAUCCAGCAGCAUGCAAUCCAGUCUGCUUUAUCCCAGCUAGAGACAUUUGAGAUCCCUGGAGAGUUUUUGGCAUCAGAUCCACGUCUUGCUUACUUGUUAGCAGUGGGAGCUUGCACCAUCCCCACAAGCCAGCAUCAGCAAAAGUUACUGAAGAAAUCCUUUUCCUUUACAGAUGCACAACUCAUGCCUUUAGGGGCUGGAUUCAUGCACGCAGUGCACUGAAACCAGAAACAUACAAGUUGAAUGCUUUUAAGAUGAACAUUCUGUUGAGAAAAAGGCAGGAAAGAGAAAAUCCCUAAAGUCUUUGCAGUGAAUUUAAUAACUCUGACAUUUACACUCAUCCUACCUGAUAGCAUGUAAAUCAGAAGAAAAUAUUGCUUAUAUUAUAAAAUAAGGUAUCUGGAAAUUAGGAAAGGCCAGCACUGAAGUGUAAUAACAGAAUUAUGAGUUAUAUGAUGGCACAUUUACUUCUGAACAAUGUCCAAGGCAAUCAUCAUUCAGGCCCCUUAUGCCAAUAGGAAGCUGUUCCUUAGAUCGGUCGUCCCUCACUUUUUCUGUAAGGCAAGGACUGGUCAAUAUUUAGAAAUAUUUCUGCAGACCAACAAACUCACAGCAGGUUUAAUUUACAAAAGCAAUGAAUGGUUAUUGGGUAUUUUAUUUAUGGCCUUGUUUUUUUGGACAGAUGUAUUUUUUUAAUAAAAUAUCUUCAUGGAUUA